CAGAAUGCAAGGUUGAACAUCUCAGAAUAAGUUCACAAUGCAAUGACGCAACCUCAGAAUUACGGAAAUCAAAUUCAGCUUUCCAACAAUGUGUGCAGGAUGUGGGCAUUGGUGGGAAGGCAUUUAUUGCCCAUCCCCAUUUACACCCGAGAAGGCGGCGGGAAACACUCUUCUUGAAGUACUGCAGUCCUUCCGGUGAAUGUACUUCCACAGUGCUGUCGGGAUCCCAAAGGUCUUCUGCAGCACUGCCUCACCUGGCUUGUACCUGGCUGCAGAGUUCAGUCACUUGGAAUGUGAUUCCCUGAAAUGAAGCUUUUAACAAGAUGUGGGCUGUGUUUCCAGCAAGCUAUUCU